UACAGAGGGUGCGAGCGUUAAUCGGAAUUACUGGGCGUAAAGCGCACGUAGGCGGCUUGGUAUGUCGGGUGUGAAAUCCCCGGGCUCAACCUGGGAACUGCAUCCGAAACUGCCUUGCUAGAGUAUGGGAGAGGGAAGUGGAAUUUCCGGUGUAGCGGUGAAAUGCGUAGAUAUCGGAAGGAACAUCAGUGGCGAAGGCGACUUCCUGGACCAAUACUGACGCUCAGGUGCGAAAGCGUAGGGAGCAAACAGG
rnacentral:rRNA from 1 species